AAGGAUUCCCCUAGUAGCGGCGAGCGAAGCGGGAAGAGCUCAAAUUUAUAAUCUGGCACUUUCGGUGUCCGAGUUGUAAUCUCUAGAAAUGUUUUCCGCGCUGGACCGCACACAAGUCUGUUGGAAUACAGCGGCAUAGUGGUGAGACCCCCGUAUAUGGUGCGGAUGCCCAGCGCUUUGUGAUACAUUUUCGAAGAGUCGAGUUGUUUGGGAAUGCAGCUCAGAUUGGGUGGUAAAUUCCAUCUAAAGCUAAAUAUUGGCGAGAGACCGAUAGCGAACAAGUACCGUGAGGGAAAGAUGAAAAGCACUUUGGAAAGAGAGUUAACAGUACGUGAAAUUGUUGGAAGGGAAACGCUUGAAGUCAGACUUGCUUGCCGAGCAAUCGGUUUGCAGGCCAGCAUCAUUUUUCCGGGAUGGAUAAUGGUAGAGAGAAGGUAGCAGGUUCUCGGCUGUGUUAUAGCUCUCUACUGGAUACAUCUUGGGGGACUGAGGAGCGCAGUGUGCCUUACGGCGGGGGUUUCGACCUC
rnacentral:rRNA from 1 species